GAAUUGUAGUGCUUCUGGGCUGUAUAGAUCAUGCCAAAUACGGGCCGGCAGUUGACAGGCUAGCACAGUGCGCGAAUUAGAAUAGAACUGAGCGAGAACGUGUUGGCAAGUGUAAUGAAGCUGUAAAAAUUGAGUGCCAGCAAAAGAGUGAAUAAAAAUUUAUAUAAAAUAAUUCUGUAAAAAAAAUGUGAUUUUCAAGCAGCAAUUAAAAUAAUAAGAGUUUAAUAAUUUUUGCGAUUCUAACAAAAAAUAUCCAAGUGCGGACAGUAUACGAACUACAAACAUACAUAUAACAACCGUCAAAAAGUCUCGUGCGUGUACAACAUUCCGGUAGCAGCUCUGCACCAAACAAAAAAAACAAAAAAAAAACAAAAAAAAAAAAAAAAAGCAAAAAAAAGUGUGUCAGUGAGUGUACCCGUGUAUUUUGCGAUUUUCGCUCAUUUUGUGUAGCGCAGGCGUGCGCGCCCUUCCCCUCCGACGGCAGCUGUUUAAACAAAGAAGAACAAAAAAAACCCCUUUGUGUCUGUUUUUCGCAUUGUAUCGCUUUAAUUGUUGCCUAGCGAAAUGACUGAUUCCAUAAAAUUAUCCGAAAUGCAACGCAGUAGUAUCGAAUUCGAACGUCAACGACAUUUGGCCAACUGGUUUAUCAAGAGUAGCCCGCACAUGGCAACACCGCAAACAGCGUCCGCGACGACGACAACAACGGCGGCAACGGCGACGGGCGCCGGCGUUGCACUAACAACAAGAACAACAACAACAGCAACAACAGCUGUAGCUAUUGGUGCAACAACAGAUAACACAACAGCUAGUAAUGCAACAAAAAAUACAACAACAUCGACAACAAAUCUUGGAGGGGGCCACCACACAAAUGGCAUGUCGUCUUCGGCAGCCAACUCGCACCACCAGCAACAGCAGCACUCGAGCGCCAAGCAUCACAACAGCUGUGGUGGCGGCGGUAGCGGCAAUCCACCGCCCGUCUUCUUCUUAGUCGCCAGCAAUGGCAAUUCAAAUGGCAAUAUUGUGAAUGGCAGCAAACACAGCAGCAAUGCGUCACCGGCUCCUACAGGUGUUGGUACGCCGCCCAAUGCGAUAAGCGCUGUCUCCGGCGGUCCGCUAGGCCAUUUCGCAGCCGUCGAGGGACGCAAACCCAAGCUGCGACGCUUCAAUUCGCACGACACCAGCGCGAAUAUGUUCUCAGUGGCGGACUUCGAGAAUGCACGGCUGGCGCGACGCAAUGAAAUCGAAAUGAAACAGCGUCUGGCACGGCGCAUGCGCAUGAGUGCCACUGGCGGAUACGGCUGUGCGGCUGGCGGUAUGGGCGCGAGCUUGAUUGGUGGCAGUGGCUGUGGGCUGGGUGCCAGUGGUAAUGGCAUGGGUGUGGGUACGGGGGGCGGUAACAGCAUGUGUGGCGGUGGUGACUACUCCACCGGCGAUAGCAAGGCGUCCAAAUAUAGCAAUGAGUCUCAACACGAGCCAUUGCCAGCGGAUAUUUUCCUCGAUCGCUACUCGUUGCCACGCGUUGUACGAAUUUCGUAUAAAACAAAAUUCUCCGACGAAACAUUGCAAUCGUCCUCCUCGAAUGGCUCAUCCACAGCCACGACGAAUACCACAGGCACCAGCGCCAGCGUUUCGAAUUCGUCGGUGAGCGCUUGUGGUCUAACGGUGGCUAUUAACACCGGCACGUCCUCAUCGACGGCCUCCUCAAGCGGUAAUGUGAAUGCGCACAGCUCGGGUGCUACGAACACGAGCAGCAGCGGUGGUGGCGGUGGCGGUGGUGGUGGCGGUGGCGGUAGUGCGGAUAGAGUAGGCUCCAAACAGCACUCAACGCCACACAAUACAACACCUCCAGCCACAACAACUCAGUCAAACACAACAAUUAAUGGUAAUAGCAAUACGGAUGUGGAGAAUCGCGAAGAUCAUGGUGAAUUAUUUCUACUCUAUCGGCUAAUACGACAACGCCAUAUAUUUCAUGGGCAUAAUGCCAAGACUGCUGCAGCAAGUCGCAAGAAAGGUGUGCUGAUACCGCAAGAGUUUCCAGGCUACUUUUCUCUGCUCAAUGACAAGGGCACAGCAACGGCGACCCUCUACACUUCCUUAAUACAGCUCGUACGCGAACGUGUGUACAAAUUCGUUUCAGUCGACAAUAUGCCCGCCUUUACCGAGUCCCAGCCCAACGUCAAUAACCCACCCGCUGAAAGUUGCCUACCCAUGUACACCCAACCACCGCCACCACCGACCAACAAUCGACCACAAUAUGUGAAGACUACGGCACGGGGUGGUCAAGUAUUCCGACUGCUAGCCGUUUUCGAGGAUGGCAAGCAAGACCACUCCAAUACGAUCGGUUGUACCGGUAGUGUGACCGCAAAAUCGAAUAACAAUCAUGGCCGUGAAAAAGAAAAGGGCCGCUAUGCACAGCUGUUGAACGAGAACCGGCAGGUGUUGUACGUCUCGCUCUCCACAAAGGGCAAAUUCUAUGAAAUCGAGCCAGGCAUACCACAAAUAUUACAAAAGCUUGGCGGCAUCGGAAACGAGACGAAUAAAAAGGCCAAUCCGGAUUGCGUACAUCGCAUAACGGCGUUGAUAACGCCACAGCGCGAAUUGCCGCUGACACUGCGCUACAUUUCCGGUCCACAUGGCUGCAAUAGCGCGAUACCCGAAAAUGUGUGCAUCACACACAUAACCACCGAAAAUGUGGUGAUUGCCUGUCCCAUUGAGGAUGUGGAGGUGCAGAGUCCACUACACUUACGCAAGCUGCAUCUGUCCAAAGAGAUGAAUUUGUUGAAGAGCUCACUCGGUUUCGAAAGCGAACAACGCAUGCUCGCCAAUCCCAAUGUGCAAAAUAUACUCAAAUUUUGUCAAUUUAAUUGUGAUCAGUUCUUAAAGAUGAUUGAAGUGGAAAUAUUGCACCGUCCGGAGCGCUCGGGUUCCAAGAGCCGUGGCGAAGGUUUGAAAAUUCUCAAGCCACUGCAUUUGCCUAAGCUGUUGCGACGAGAGAAGACCACAAUUCCGGCGCAUGAGAAGGAAGACUCAAUUAUAUUUCUUAGCAAAUCCGACCUCGCCAAUCUGGAGGCGAAAGAAGUUGCAGCGCAGGCAGCUUUCGAAAGCGCGGCGAGCAGUGCAAACCGCAUUACCGAGAAAAUGAAAGUUUUCCAGUCGACAAAGAAAAAGUGGUUCCGCAAGCAAGACAAGCACGCUGCGCACACGUUGACCUCCUACGAAUUGGACGUGCAGGCGAAGCGCAUGAGCAUGGAGCGCUAUUCGGAUAUGUCAAAGCUGUUGCAGGAACGUUUCGGUGACAAGCCAAAUGCGCAAACUCAUGAUGCGCAUGAAUCUGUUUCCGAACCAAGUGGUGGCGCUUCGGAUAUCGGCUGCUCAGAUACGGAGACCACCACAUUGGCAACCAUUGAUGAGAAACUGAGAAAGGUAGAGACGAGUGGCAAUAAAAUGAUAACAAAGUCUAUGUCGCUGCAGGAUAUCGAGCUCAUUAGCGGCGGCGCUGCGGCACGCAAGCCCGACUUGCUGCCAAGCGAUACCAUCUCCGAAGCGGGCACCGACCUGGAGGACCUUGAUAACCAGGACCUGAUACCACAGUCAUUCAUAACUGAGAAGCUAUACAAUGAGUUCCACGUCAAAACGCGCCAGUACAGCAAAUCCUCCUCGAGCCUGCAUCAACUGCUGAACUUUUCGUUGCCACAAAAGAUGCAGCUACAUGACAACAAACGCUCGAUGGCGCAGCUAAAGCACAAUGGCAGUAGUAGCGUAGCUGGAAAGCCAGCAGCCGUCGCUGACAGGCGUCUGGACUUCAACAUUGGCGAGCCGGUGACAGGCAGACGCGCUGCCGGUGGACUUUCACUACUCGCUGGUAACGCCGGCGUUGCCAACAGUCUUGGCAUUUUGGGCCACCAUUCGGCGCUCGCCUCACCGCUCACACCCACCAGCCUGAUCGAUGAUCUGCCCUAUUCAAGCGUGCGCGAUUCGCUGGUGCUCUCGAGCGACGAAUCAGCAUCGGACAAUCCAACAGGCAACAUCUGUCAGGCGCUCAAUAUGAUCGACUACAACAAAGAGAAUAUCUAUGCGGAAAUUUGUCACGACAAUAUUAGUCAUCACGCGGCGGGCAUAACAUCAGUCUCAGCAGCAGCGACCGCUGGCACCACCGUCUCGGCCAUGGGUGGCAUUUGCAGUUCAACUACACGUGACACCUUCUCCGGCGAUACACAUUCCACGCGGAUUUCCGACGACUACGGCGACUAUGCCUCGCUCACAUACACAGCGAUUGAGCGUACUGCUCAACCGAACAGUAUCCAAACCAGCGGCAGCGCUCUGAGUAAGUCAACAAGUGGACAAACUGUUGUCAACGCUUCGGCACCCACCGCCUUGGCGAUUAGUCGGGUACAAGUCAAUUGCAACUCUGUCAGUCCAGUGAGCUAUCACACCGUUUAUUUGGGCGACGAGCCGCUUGGCAACGAAAAACAACGUGAACGUGGCAAGCGUCACAGCAAGGCGGGCAGUAGCAAGAGUCGCGAGCAUGUCACUACAGUGGCACUGGAGGGUAACACACCGACAGCCUAUGAAACGCACAAUACCAGCGGCAAUAUUGGGGCUACAGCUGCUAGCAUCGCCAACGAACUGGAGGAGGUGGCCGAUAACAUUUACAAUACAUUGAAAUGAUGACUAAUGUGAUUUAGUUGGAAAUUGGGUGCAACGGUGUUGAGUAUGGUGAGCAGCGGCAAGGGGUUCUACUGAAUCAAUGCGGCCGCUGACGAGCAUUGCUCAGCAAGUGUGCUCAGCUAGGGGUGCACCAAAAGGAGUGAUUGAAUUUAAUUUACUAUUACAUAAGUAAGAUUCGAACUGCUCGAAAGAUUAAACAGCAUUGUGAUGUUUAGGGUUUUCUAAAUGACAUGAAAGGUGCGUUUGAAAGGCUCAUUGGUACAGAUAUUAGAAAAACAAAAGCACAGCAAUCAACUUCACCUGCAAAAAAAAACAAAUAUUUGUAAAUAAAUACAUACAAAAAUAAUUCACUAAUUUGUAGCAGCACAAAAAAUGUAUCAAGAACAAAAACCAUUAAUCACAAUUCACUUCAUCCACUAAAUAAUACGAGCAUCAACCAGACAAUUUAUGAAUACUUUGCACAAAACUCUAAUUUUUCGAAAUUCAAAAAUCUGCAAUCAACACAAUUUUCGCUGACCUGUAAUGAAAAAUUAACAGUUUGCUUAAGUUAGUCAAGAAAGUGUAAAAGCCUGAUUUAACCAGAAAGGUAAGUGAGCUUUUUUAUUUUCUGUAGUAAUAACCAGGGGGAGUAGUUUUUGAGAGUAUAAUUUUGGAACUUUAGUAUUUGAUUGAAAGCUUGGUUUCUUGUGAAAUCUUUCAAAAAGAGCUUGGGCAAGGCUUUAAGAAACUGUACGUAAUCAUUAUCUUAUAUUUAAAAACUAUGGAUUUGGGUGAAAGCUUGUUUUCUGGUGAAAGCUGUAAAUAAAAAUGUUUAGCCAUGAAAGCAUUCGGGAAUCACGUAAAGCUUUCCGCAGCUUUUAAACACGUUUUGACAAUUUUAAUGAACUUUCAUUCAUUUCGAUAAAUUUUCUGCUACCUUGAACUUAAAAAAUUCGUAAGCUUGAAUUCUUUGGAGUGUGUCAAUGCGAUUCCAAUGCCUAAUUCUAGUUUUCAGGCAUUUUUAGACUCUUUUCGAAUUUAAGCAUUCACUUGAUUUCAUAUUUUUGUAAGCUCUGGGCUUUAGUAAAAUCUGUUCAUAUACCAAUCACGACGAAAAGCUCUCUCUGGUCGUUGCUUACUUUCAGAAACUGAAAAUCAUUUGAAAUGACAGAUUUUUUGUGAAAGCUUUUAAUUUUGUGAAAGCUGCAUAUCAUACGAGCGUAUGUUUACGCCAAGGCUUCCAGUAAUGGUUGAAAAAGUCAUUCACCCCUAUUGCGAGUGUUGACUAGUAGUAGAUAAACGACUGUUAGUUGAUUAUCGAUUAUGCAUGGUAUUUUUAAACUCGUUUUCUCGUUCAAUAAGUGCGUGUGAAUAGUUUAUAGUCGCUUAUAUAUAUUAAGCUUUCUAUACAUUUUGUAUAGUCACGUGCAGAGUAAAAGCUCUCUGCCCAUCGCUGAUUUUAAGGUUUUGUGUUUAGGUUAGAGCUUUCCAAAGGCUUUCUACUUUUCAAGUGUUUUUAGGCUCAGUACAACCGAAAUUUCUGAUUUGUCUUUUUGUGUGGUGAAAUAAUGUUUUCAUUGAGUGAAUUUUAUUUCAGAAAUUCUAAUACUAAAUGUUCAAAAAAUAAAAUAUAAAAAAAUACGUAUUUUCAACUGUAGAACCAUUACAGGGCAGCGAACAACAGAUAAUCUUUGGAAUUUUAAAAAUCAUCUAGGAUCGAGUACUAUA